AGAGUUUGAUCCUGGCUCAGGACGAACGCUGGCGGCGCGCUUAACACAUGCAAGUCGAGCGAGAACCGAGGCUUCGGCCUCGGGGAGAGCGGCGAACGGGUGAGUAACACGUGGAUAACCUGCCCUCGGCACCGGGAUAGCCCGGGGAAACCCGGAUUAAUACCGGAUGGCCCUUCCGACUCUCGAGUCGGACGGAAAAGGUAGCUUCGGCCUCCGGCCGAGGAUGGGUCCGCGGCGGAUUAGCUUGUUGGUGGGGUAACGGCCCACCAAGGCUCCGAUCCGUAGCUGGUCUGAGAGGACGAUCAGCCACACUGGGACUGAGACACGGCCCAGACUCCUACGGGAGGCAGCAGUGGGGAAUCUUGCGCAAUGGGCGAAAGCCUGACGCAGCGACGCCGCGUGAGGGAAGAAGGCCUUCGGGUUGUAAACCUCUUUCAGCAGGGACGAAGCUACUCGGGUGAACAGCCCAGAGGGUGACGUACCUUAGAAGA
rnacentral:rRNA from 1 species